rnacentral:piRNA from 1 species
GAGUGCAUGGAAACAAACCUGGG